UUCCCAAGACACUCAGCUCAGACUCCAUCUCCUCCAGAGGCCUUUCUCUGAAAUGCCCCUCUCCCCACUGCCUCACCCCCUGAUAGCAUAAGAUAUUUUCUUUCAUUGAUUUAUUCUUUAAAAAUACCACUCCACCACUUAAUUAGCAUGGCUUACUUGAGUACAAUUUUGCAUUUGUUUUUACUGUCCAAAACUUAUUUUUAAGUACAGAUUGCUUAUUUGUUUUGUA